rnacentral:rRNA from 1 species
UGGGGAAUAUUGCACAAUGGGCGCAAGCCUGAUGCAGCCAUGCCGCGUGUGUGAAGAAGGCCUUCGGGUUGUAAAGCACUUUUGUCCGGAAAGAAAUCCUUGGCUCUAAUACAGUCGGGGGAUGACGGUACCGGAAGAAUAAGCACCGGCUAACUACGUGCCAGCAGCCGCGGUAAUACGUAGGGUGCAAGCGUUAAUCGGAAUUACUGGGCGUAAAGCGUGCGCAGGCGGUUUGCUAAGACCGAUGUGAAAUCCCCGGGCUCAACCUGGGAACUGCAUUGGUGACUGGCAGGCUAGAGUAUGGCAGAGGGGGGUAGAAUUCCACGUGUAGCAGGUGAAAUGCGUAGAGAUGUGGAGGAAUACCGAUGGCGAAGGCAGCCCCCUGGGCCAAUACUGACGCUCAUGCACGAAAAGCGUGGGGAGCAAAACAGGAUUAGAUACCCUGGUAGUCCACGCCCUAAACGAUGUCAACUAGUUGUUGGGGAUUCAUUUCCUUAGUAACGUAGCUAACGCGUGAAGUUGACCGCCUGGGGAGUACGGUCGC